ACCCAUGUCCAGGUUGAAGUGGAGGUAAAACUCCAUGGAGGACCGAACCGACUCCCGUUGAAAUGGUAGCGGAUGAGGUGUGGGUAGCGGAGAAAUUCCAAUCGAACCCGGAGAUAGCUGGUUCUCUCCGAAAUAGCUUUAGGGCUAGCCUUGUAUUAGAUUACUGGAGGUAAAGCACUGAAUAGGCUAGGGGCCGAGAGGUUACCGAACCUUAUCAAACUCAGAAUGCCAGAUAAUUGAUGUACAGGAGUCAGACAGUGUGAGAUAAGUUUCAUUGUCGAAAGGGAAAGAGCCCAGACCCACAGCUAAGGUCCCAAAAUAUAGUUAAGUGGAAAAGGAUGUGGGAUUGCACAGACAACCAGGAUGUUGGCUCAGAAGCAGCCAUUCAUUAAAAGAGUGCGUAAUAGCUCACUGGUCGAGUGCCCCUGCGCCGAAGAUUUAACGGGGCUAAACUAUAUACCGAAGCUUGGGAUGCAUUUAUGCAUGGUAGGAGAGCGUUGUAUGCGGGGUGAAGUCAGAGCGAAAGCGCUGGUGGACUGCAUACAAGUGAGAAUGCCGGAAUGAGUAGCGAGAAAUAUGUGAGAAUCAUAUUGGCCGAAAGUCUAAGGUUUUAGGAGGAAGGUUCGUCCGCUCCUAGUACGCCGGGAGCUAAGGUGAGGCCGAAAGGCGUAGCCGAUGCACAUACGGUAGAAAUUCCGUAGCCACCGAAAGAUUUAAGCAAGAGGACACCCAGAAAGAGCAUAACCCGGGCGUUGGUUGACCCGGGCGUAAGGGACUGAAAUUAGAGUAGGGAAGUAUGCGUGGACUGGGGCGAGAAAAGUCUUGUGUAUAUUUAAGGUGCCCGUACCGCAAACCGACACAGGUAGAUAGGAAGAGAAUUCUAAGGCCAACGGGAGAAGGGUAGUUAAGGAACUCGGCAAAUUGACCCCGUAACUUAGGGAAAAGGGGUGCCACAGCAAUGUGGCCGCAGAGAAUAGGCCCAGGCGACUGUUUAGCAAAAACACAGGUUUCUGCCAAAUCGAAAGAUGAAGUAUAGGAGCUGACACCUGCCCGGUGCUGGAAGGUUAAGAGGAGAGGUGCAAGCCUUGAAUUGAAGCCCCAGUAAACGGCGGCCGUAACUAUAACGGUCCUAAGGUAGCGAAAUUCCUUGUCGGGUAAGUUC
rnacentral:rRNA from 1 species